UAAAAUCUUGAGUCGCCACUCUCACAUAUAUUUUCUUCUCACCUCAACUCUUCACUCUAUCCCACCGAUCAACCACAUACAAUGAGACCACCAAGAGGGCGUGGCGGCGGCGGCGGCUUUAGAGGCGGAAGAGAUGGUGGUCGUGGUUUCGGUGGCGGCCGUGGAAGAGGUGGCGGCGGACGUUUCGGCGGUGGCGGUGGGCGUGGUUUUCAAGAUGAAGGCCCUCCGGCUGAAGUUGUAGGUCCGUUUACUUUUAUCUCUAUCUCUCUAUGUAAUUUUUAUCUCAUAUUGUAAUUAAUGGUUUAAUUUUAAUUGUGUGUAGAGGUUGCUUCAUUUGUACAUGCUUGCGAAGGUGAUGCUGUCACGAAGCUAACUAAUGAGAAAAUACCCUAUUUUAAUGCCCCCAUUUAUCUCGAGAACAAGACCCAAAUCGGAAAAGUAGAUGAAAUUUUCGGCCCCAUUAAUGAAUCGGUGAGCCCCUUUUCAGCAAUUCUUGCUGGUGUUAUUGUAUUAGUUUAUUGAUUUAUAUGGUAUUUUAGGCCUUUGUUUGGUUCUGAUUGUGUAACGUUUGUAGUUUUUCUCGGUUAAAAUGAUGGAAGGAAUUGUAGCUACUUCUUACUCAGCUGGGGAUAAGUUUUUCAUCGACCCGUAUAAGCUUUUGCCUCUGUCCAGAUUUCUUCCACAGCCAAAGUAAGUUAGUUAUUCACUAAUGCUCAAGUUGAAAUUUCCAGGAUAAUUUUAAUACUGUGAACUAUGUUAUUGUACUUAAAGCAUGCUGUGUUAGUAGGAAUAUCUAUUGUUUCUCUGACCAGUAUGGAUAUAUACAGCAUUUGAUUGUAGAAUUGAACAUAUUAUUCUAUUAAAUCGUCAAACUAGUUAUGGUGGUAUGAUGAUAUUGUUUGAUAUUCUUUAGAUUGGGAGUGGAGUGACAACAUUUAAAGAGGGUCAGUUUAAAAAUAUAAAACCUGUCCAUUGAAAUUUGAAACCAUUAUUGUCAAGAGAAGUAUGGCAUGUUUUGAUCUGUGUUGUGACUACUGCAACAAUAUAGCAAGAUUACGGGAUGUAUAUUUAUAUUUGUUAGGGUAAGAAAUAUGUCCCGGCUUUCACAGAACCUGCAAACUUGAUGGUACUUUGAAAUUGCUACUAUAUUAUAUUAAACAACUUAUCCGUUGAAAAAGUAAAUGGACUCAUGUUGAGUCAUAUUUGUGUUUCUGCCUAUAUUACUCGGACUCGGCUGAAAGUGUCCAAAUUGGAUACGUGUCCGAGUGUCGGACUCGGCAAUAUUUUGAAAAUUCUACAUGUUUUUGGCCUAAAAUAAGUGUCGGAGUGCCCACACCCAUGUCCGAGUGUCGAGUGUCCGACAUGGAUACUUGAGGCAAAAUGAAGAGUCCGGGUAACGUAGGUUUCUGCUCUAUAUUGUCCUUUCGUCUGUUGGACAACAUUUUUUAGUAUGAGAAAGCACUCUGUGAAACAUAAUUAGAAGACCAUCGGUAGACUGUAGUUGAUUUUGAGAUCACUUCUGCUAGAAGUUCUGAUUUAUCUGUAGACAGUGGCUGUUUUUAUUUGCUAGCAUUUGUGCGCUUCAUUAAUUUUGGUGUAUAUCACUAUGAUCAGGGGACAAGCACCAGCUGGUGGUAGAGGUGGAGGUCGUGGAGGGGGAAGAGGGGGUGGACGAGGAUUUAGUCGCGGUGGAGGAGGUGGUUUUCGUGGAAGGGGUGCUCCAAGAGGUGGGCGAGGAGGUGGCUUCAGAGGUGCAAGUCGUGGUGGAGGAGGUUUCAGGGGAAGAGGGAGAUCGUAGAGUAUUUGUAAUUUGUUUGUGCUUGUUUAAGUUCUGGAUACACAAUUUUAAUGAGCAUUAUGUAUUAGUACUGAUUUGAUUUUGUUAUGUGACUGGCCUAUGGAAUACCAAAGCUUUGAUUGUUUUUACAAUGUGCAUUGUGCAAUAUCAUCCCAGUUCCCAAACCUUAGAUUGCCUCUUAGAGUAGAUAUCUACUAGUAUGGUGCCUUAAUGAUUUCAUCAGAAAGGAACAUACCUUGUCAUGACCCAUCAUUCUACAGGAAUAUGGGGAGAUGAUAACCAUAGUUUUGCAGAAUCUAUGAAAACAUUUGACUGCAACAAGCUUUGUUUAUUCUAGCAGCAAUCAAGAGCUUGUGCGCAAUCCUGUUUGUACAACCUUGUUUACUCCGAAUCUCCCAUUUGGAGAUCUGCCCGUUUGUUUAAGAGAAGUAGAAUUUGCUUCUAGCUUCUGCUCUUUUUGACCGUGUUUAUGUAAAUAAGUUGACCAUUUGUGUAAAUAAGUAUAAGCAUUUUUAAAAAGUUGAGAAUGCUCUACUUCUUUUUUAAAAACUUUAGUAACUUAUUUACAUUUCAUUUUUAAUACACUUCUUUACUCUUUUUAAACCUGUCCAAAUGGUCUCUUCAUCUAUUUGACCCCUUUAAAUUCCUUUGUAUUUCUUCGUAUUUCUUUUUGUUUAGCUCUGUAUAUACUCUCAUCCUACAUAGACCUUUAAUGUUCUGCAUUUUACAUCCCUAUAUCUUCAUCCUUCGUGUUUACUAAUUUGAUGUUAGUAUGACCAUUUUUUAUUUUUCCGAAUUUAAUAUAUCCAGAUUAUUAAAUUAAAUACUAAGUAUUCAGUGAACACGUAUUAAAUGAAGAAUGGAAAAAUUGGUGGACUGUUGACGAGAAAAAACUAAAAAGGCGUGUGGGAACGAGGAUACAUACGUAAUUCCACCCCCGAACAAUUCACGACCAUGCUUAAACCCUAGAAAAUGAUAAAAUCUUGAGGCGCCACUCUCACAUUCAACUCUGAACUCUUUAUAUAUUUUCUUCUCACCUCAACUCUCACUCUAUCCUAUCAAUCAAAUUCAUACAAUGAGACCACCAAGAGGGCGUGGCGGCGGCGGCGGCUUUAGAGGCGGAAGAGACGGUGGUCGUGGUUUCGGUGGCGGCCGUGGAAGAGGCGGCGGCGGACGUUUCGGCGGUGGUGGUGGCCGUGGUUUUCAAGAUGAAGGCCCUCCUGC
rnacentral:lncRNA from 1 species